CCCUGUGGCACACAUAAAUUAACUUCGACAGAAUCACCUCUAGAUUUACCCGCUAUGACCCUUCUGAACAUUUCCCUGAACUAACACUAACAUUUUUUUAUGCAUUUAACUCUCCAACACACACACACACACACACACACACACACACAAACCAGCCCGAUUGUGUUGCUCAGUCUGAUUGCUUCUCUCGCUCAGCAGAGUGGCCCAGCCGCUUCCAGCCGUUUCUCCUGGCGGCCUGCAAGACAAAAUGUAUACCUAAACAAUGACAGGUUUCCUCCUGGUGCGGUGGGUGUGUCUCCUGGUGGCAUGGGUGGACAGAUAGAGGGCAUGAUGCCCGGCGGGAUGCCCGGGGCCCAUCCCCUGCCACCGGGCACCCAGCCCAGCCUCGCCCCGUCCCCCACCCAGCUCCUCAAACACAACGACCAUAGACAACACCUCGCCAAGUCAUAACCACCUGACCACUGACCGACAGUCAUUCAGCAAAACUGCAAAUCAAAGAGACUAAGAGACAGUGAACGGGUGAACAAGCAAUCAGCUGCCGCUAGCUGCACCGGAGACAUGCUUCACGGACGUCUCUCCACCGUCUUGUUUUCAGUUUCAGUGUUUUUCCAUUCAUUUCCAUCGUUUCUGUUGUUCUUGUGAGGGGAGGACAUAAUUUCCACCUGUUUUUGAAACAGGUGGGCGGUGCUUUCUUUGUCGGGGGCGUGGCAUGACAUAAUGGCCACACCUCUUUUCUUGUGCACCACAUACAGAGUUCGAAACGUUGACGGUUAUCAGAUGCCAUGCACUUGUCUUCUUCCUCUUCGCCUUAUUUGGGCCCCUAAACAAAACUCAUAACUUUCUUUACAUCCACAGAAUUAGAGCUUGUCUUUGUUUGAAUGUUAAAAGUGCUUGAUAAUGAAAAUAUAUAUAUAUAUAUAUAUAUAUAUAUAUACAGUGUAUCUAUUAAGAGAACAGAGAGGUAAAGGCUGGUCUUAGGCAAAAAUUAAGAUGAAUUAUUAGCUUUUAUCCAACAAUUUGCAUAGCUGACCUCUUGUUUACAGAAUUGCACAAAUUCAACAAGCACCAGCUCAGAAACAAGUCCUCUUCAAGACCCAAGAGCACACUAUUUUACUGAUAUAUCCAUUCAUUUCGGUUCAAAAUGAGUUUGCAGGAUUUAAAAUACAAACUGCGUUAGGUUUUAAGAUCUUCAAUUUGGAUUUGAGUGAACGUCACCGUGAGGGACAUCAUUUUGAUUUUGUGUUUGCUUUAAAAAAAA